rnacentral:rRNA from 1 species
GACGAACGCUGGCGGCGUGCUUAACACAUGCAAGUCGUACGGUAAGGCCCUUUCGGGGGUACACGAGUGGCGAACGGGUGAGUAACACGUGAGUAACCUGCCCACAACUUUGGGAUAACGCUAGGAAACUGGUGCUAAUACUGGAUAUGUGCUCCUGCUGCAUGGUGGGGGUUGGAAAGCUCCGGCGGUUGUGGAUGGACUCGCGGCCUAUCAGCUUGUUGGUGGGGUAGUGGCCUACCAAGGCGGCGACGGGUAGCCGGCCUGAGAGGGUGACCGGCCACAUUGGGACUGAGAUACGGCCCAGACUCCUACGGGAGGCAGCAGUGGGGAAUAUUGCACAAUGGGCGCAAGCCUGAUGCAGCAACGCCGCGGGCGGGAGGACGGCCUUCGGGUUGUAAACCGCUUUCAGCAGGGACGAAGCUUUUUGUGACGGUACCUGCAGAAGAAGCACCGGCUAACUACGUG